CUGUGUUUAUUUCAUUAUUUGAAACUAUUUUAAUGAAUUAUUUUUAAGUUAUCACCUUCACAACCUAUUAUGAGUCUAUGACCAUACACACAUAUACACAGAUGUUAUAUUCACAAUGCAUACAAUCCAUCACAAGCUGAAGCAUUUUGAAGAAAGCUGUAAAAAUGGUCUUGGUUCAUAUAUGCUAUUAUUUCCCAGAAUCUUCUGCAUUGGUGUUAUAUAAGGAGGAAUGCCUUAUUGAAAACAUAUAUUGAUAUUUCUGAGUGACAUUGCUAUGAUCAAUAUACGUUUGAUGUUUAUAACCAUCUAUCUCUCAAUUCUAAUUUCCUGUUUCCAGAGUCAACAUUACAAUUCUGCCAGGAAAUUUAGAAGUGUCACUGGAAGUUUGUUUUGCAGAGCUCCUUGGAAAGACUGCACAGAAAGCAAUGGAGGCAAUUGGUGAUGGAAGGGAGAUACAAGAAAGCAAGAUUAAUAUGCCAACCCUAGGAACAUGGAAUGUAAGAAGCACAAAUCAAAUCAAGGAAAGCUACACACAGUGAAACAAGAAAGUGUACAUCUUGAGAAACUGUACGUCUUCCAAUCACUGGAAGAAGAAGCAAACAAAGAAGAGGGAGUGACAACAGAGCGGUGGCUCCUAAGGAAGCAAUAGUAUCACAAUUUGUGUAUAUUCUGGUUUUCAUCAUGGAGCACUGUUGAUGAGGGGUGGGGUGUUUUGCCUUUUAGUUUAUAUUUAUAUAAAGUUUCUUUGUUUACUGCA